rnacentral:rRNA from 1 species
UACGUAGGGUGCAAGCGUUGUCCGGAAUUAUUGGGCGUAAGAGCUCGUAGGCGGUUUGUCGCGUCUGCUGUGAAAACCCGAGGCUCAACCGCGGGCCUGCAUUCGAUACGGGCAGGCUAGAGUUCGGUAGGGGAGACUGGAAUUCCUGGUGUAGCAGUGAAAUGCGUAGAUAUCAGGAGGAACACCGAUGGCGAAGGCAGGUCUCUGGGCUGACACUGACGCUCAUGCACGAAAGCGUGGGGAGCAAACGAGGAU